AGUGAACGCUGGCGGCAGGCCUAACACAUGCAAGUCGAACGGAAGGACAGUAAGAGCUUGCUCUUACGGGUGGCGAGGGGCGGACGGGUGAGGAAUACAUCAGAAUCUUCUUUGUCGGGGGGGAUAUCGGAGAGACACUGACGCUAAUACCUAAUACGAUCUACGGGAGAAAGCAGAAGAGAUUCGGAGCUUUCGCGUUUGUAAUAGACGAUGUCGGAUUAGCUAGUUGGCGAGGUAAGGGCAUACCAAGGCAACGAUGCGUAGCUGGUCUGAGAGGAUGAUCAGCCACACUGGAACUGAGACACGGUCCAGACUCCUACGGGAGGCAGCAGUAGGGAAUAUUGGACAAUGGGCGAAAGCCUGAUCGAGCCACGCCGCGUGAGUGAAGAAGGUCUUCGGAUCGUAAAGCCCUGUUGUUAGGAAAGAAAAGCAGCAUGUUAAUCCGUCGACGUCCUGACGGUACCUAAACAAUAAGCACCGGCUAACUUCGUG
rnacentral:rRNA from 1 species